rnacentral:rRNA from 1 species
CAGUCGCCACGGUAAAACGGAGGGGGCUAGCGUUGUUCGGAAUUACUGGGCGUAAAGCGUGCGUAGGUGGUGGUUUAAGUCCGUUGUGAAAGCCCUGGGCUCAACCUGGGAAUUGCAGUGGAUACUGGGUCACUAGAGUGUGGUAGAGGAUAGUGGAAUUUCCGGUGUAGCAGUGAAAUGCGUAGAGAUCGGAAGGAACAUCUGUGGCGAAGGCGACUAUCUGGGACAACACUGACGCUGAGGCACGGAAGCGUGGGGAGCAAACAGGAUUAGAUAACCCUGUAGUCCCUGUCUCUUAUAU